CCUACGGUGGGCAGCAGUAGGGAAUUUUCGUCAAUGGGCGCAAGCCUGAACGAGCGAUGCCGCGUGAGUGAAGAAGGCCUUCGGGUCGUAAAGCUCUGUUGCGGGGGAAAAAAGGCAGCAUCAGGAAAUGGGUGCUGACUGAUGGUGCCCCGCCAGAAAGUCACGGCUAACUACGUGCCAGCAGCCGCGGUAAUACGUAGGUGGCGAGCGUUAUCCGGAUUUAUUGGGUUUAAAGGGUGCGUAGGCGGUUUUUUAAGUUAGUGGUUAAACGUCGGGACUUCACCUUGAUUUGCCAUUAAUACUGUAAGACUCGAGUUCAGACGAGGUAGGCGGAAUAAGUUAAGUAGCGGUGAAAUGCUUAGAUAUAACUUAGAACUCCGAUAGCGAAGGCAGCUUACCAGACUGCGACUGACGCUGAAGCACGAGAGCGUGGGUAGCGAACAGGAUUAGAUACCCCUGUAGUC
rnacentral:rRNA from 1 species